rnacentral:rRNA from 1 species
CAAGUAGAACGCUGAGGUUUGGUGUUUACACUAGACUGAUGAGUUGCGAACGGGUGAGUAACGCGUAGGUAACCUGCCUCAUAGCGGGGGAUAACUAUUGGAAACGAUAGCUAAUACCGCAUAAGAGUAAUUAACACAUGUUAGUUAUUUAAAAGGAGCAAUUGCUUCACUGUGAGAUGGACCUGCGUUGUAUUAGCUAGUUGGUGAGGUAAAGGCUCACCAAGGCGACGAUACAUAGCCGACCUGAGAGGGUGAUCGGCCACACUGGGACUGAGACACGGCCCAGACUCCUACGGGAGGCAGCAGUAGGGAAUCUUCGGCAAUGGACGGAAGUCUGACCGAGCAACGCCGCGUGAGUGAAGAAGGUUUUCGGAUCGUAAAGCUCUGUUG